CAAAGAUUUAUCGGUAUGGGAUGGACUCGCGUCUGAUUAGUUAGUUGGUAAGGUAACGGCUUACCAAGGCGACGAUCAGUAGCCGACCUGAGAGGGUGAUCGGCCACACUGGGACUGAGACACGGUCCAGACUCCUACGGGAGGCAGCAGUGGGGAAUAUUGCACAAUGGGCGCAAGCCUGAUGCAGCAACGCCGCGUGAACGAAGAAGGCUUUCGGGUCGUAAAGUUCUUUUCUUAGGGAAGAAAAAUGACGGUACCUAAGGAAUAAGCACCGGCUAACUACGUGCCAGCAGCCGCGGUAAUACGUAGGGUGCAAGCGUUAUCCGGAAUCACUGGGCGUAAAGGGUGCGUAGGCGGCCUUGCAAGUCAGAAGUGAAAAGGCUACGGCUCAACCGUAGUAAGCUUUUGAAACUGCAAAGGCUAGAGUGAAGGAGAGGAAAGUGGAAUUCCUAGUGUAGAGGUGAAAUUCGUAAAAUAUUAGGAGGAAC
rnacentral:rRNA from 1 species